rnacentral:lncRNA from 1 species
AGGUAGAGAGAGGGAGAGGGAGUAGGAAGGGAAGAGGGAGAGGAGGAGAGAGGGGGAGAGGGAGAGGGAGAGAGGGGGGAGAGAAAAAGAGACUGUAGAGAAAAGACUAAGGGAACAAAUUUAUCCUUAACAUGGAUCCCUAGUGCAGUGGUACUAUAGGAAUGGCUGCCAGUAUUCACUAUCUUUGUGUCAUUUGAGUGGCAUCUAUAUCACCAGCACUUGUAUUGUCAUUGACAAUGCACUUACUCUGUUGCCUUAAGUUCAGUAGGGUAGUCAGACAAUAAGGUACUUCUUAAUAUCAUCACAUUCUGCUGUUCAUGGUCUGGGUCUCAUAUAACCAGGUCCUUAUGAUGAUCUUUUAACCUGUAGCAUGCUAAAGGCCUUGUAAGGAAACCUCUGUGGUCUUCACAUUACCUGUUUCUGUAUCUUGCUAGGUGAGUCAAUAGAAUACCUAUUGGUGAUGUGGGAGACUAGACAUCCAUGGAAGAAGAGAAUCUAGAGAUUAACAUGUUUGGAAGAGCUAGCAUUAUGGGAAAUUGAGUAAAGCAUGUGCUGUGUUGGUGACCUAUGGACCUCACAUUUCUCCUAUUUACCCCUUCAGAGAUACAGGCUACAGGUUUGACAAGACAUAUCUCUAAAGUCCUGUGGAUCUCUCCCUCAAUGAUAAUGAAGUUACCAGAAGACUAUUAGCAACUUGUUGUAUUCCAAUAGGAUCCUAAUAGGCCAGGUGAAAGGAAAAAAAUUAUGAGAAUCACUUUAAUCAUAAGACUUCAUAAUAGAUCUAACUUUAUUUUAUAAAGGCUAAUUUAACCUAACUUUUCCAUACAUCAGUUAUAAUGGCUACAGAGAGCAUGGUGGUUUGUUUUAUUACUCUUUCCAUUAUCAAAACAAUUAGCAGUUUGUGUGUAAUGGAAUUAUAAUGAUUUUUUUUAAGGCAUAUAUGGCUUUCCCAGUCAAGUCUAGGGAGUUCCAGUUAAAUAUGCUCAGAUGAACAUUUUCUUUUUUCUUUUUUUCUUGUUUUGUUUUUUGUUUUGUUUUUUGAGACAGGGUUUCUCUGUAUAGCCCUGGCUGUCCUGGAACUCACUUUUGUAGACCAGGCUGGCCUCAAAGUCAGAAAUCCACCUGCCUCUGCCUCUGCCUCUGCCUCCCAAGUGCUGGGAUUAUAGGCAUGUGUCACCAUACCCGGCUGAAUGUUUUCUUGUUAUUUGGAAAAUUCACUUCCAUUUCUAGGUGUGCAUCUGGGCUGAGAUUGCACCACUUCGUGUGCCUAUGGAAGCCAUUGGACAACUUACAGGAGUCAGUUCUCUCUUUCUACCGUGUGGAUUCCAAGGGGUGAACGCAGGCCAUCAGGUUUAGAGACUUUACCCACUGGACCACUUUAGCAGCUUUCCUGUUUUGUUUUGUUUUAAUUGACACAUGGUCAUUGUGCAUUGUACUGAGUUUCAAUGGAACAUGUCAUAUAAGGAUAUAAUGUUCUUUAAACAUUACCCUAUGCUACAUGUUUGCCCUUUCUUUUUCCCCUCCCAAUUCCCAUUACUCCCAUUCAUUCACUAAUGGUUGGCUCUACAUUUAUGUAACGAAUACAAACAUGGUUUAAUGUACCCAGAUAGAUGCUACGAUUCCAGAUGAAGAGAAACAUGACUUUUUUCAGUUCGAUAUUUUGUUCCCUUUGUAUGAUAAUGUCCAGCAUUAUACAUUUUCCUGCAAGUCAUG